GUGGGGAAUAUUCCGCAAUGGACGAAAGUCUGACGGAGCAACGCCGCGUGAGUGAUGAAGGUUUUCGGACUGUAAAGCUCUGUUGUUUGGGACGAAAGUGCCUGUUGCGAACAGUUACGGGUAUUGACGGUACUAAACGAGGAAGCCACUGCUAACUACGUGCCAGCAGCCGCGGUAAUACGUAGGUGGCAAGCGUUGUCCGGAAUUAUUGGGCGUAAAGAGCAUGUAGGCGGGAAUCUAAGUCUGUUGUGAAAAUGCGGGGCUCAACCCCGUAUUGCGAUGGAAACUGGGUUUCUUGAGUGCAGGAGAGGAAAGGGGAAUUCCCAGUGUAGCGGUGAAAUGCGUAGAUAUUGGGAGGAACACCAGUGGCGAAGGCGCCUUUCUGGACUGUGUCUGACGCUGAGAUGCGAAAGCCAGGGUAGCGAACGGGAUUAGAUACCCUAGUAGUCC
rnacentral:rRNA from 1 species